AUGGAAUGAAAAGGAAGAAGUAUGAUACUACAUAUUGAAGCACAUAUUUGUAAGUUUCGUACCAUGCUACCCCCCCCACCUCUUUCUCUCUAUCUCUCUCUCUCUCUCCUU
rnacentral:ribozyme from 12 species